rnacentral:rRNA from 1 species
UACGAAGGGUGCAAGCGUUACUCGGAAUUACUGGGCGUAAAGCGUGCGUAGGUGGUGCGUUUAAGUCUGUCGUGAAAGCCCCGGGCUCCAACCUGGGAAUGGCGAUGGAUACUGGCGCGCUAGAGUGCGGUAGAGGAGAGUGGAAUUCCCGGUGUAGCAGGUGAAAUGCGUAGAGAUCGGGAGGAACAUCGAGUGCGAAGGCCGACUUCCUGGCCUGUUCUUGACGCUGAGGCGCGAAAGCUAGGGGUAGCAAACGGG